ensembl:ncRNA K04F10.8 ncRNA
CAAGAGAAAACCGUGUAAAUGAAUGACCUCAAACUGGAAAUGAGAAACGGCUAGAAAUAAACUAAAAUAUAACUGUGAGAAGAAAAAAAAACUAGAGCUUUUCAGCGUCUGACAAUGCUCUUUCAAUCAUUUUUCGUUCAGCUUCUUCCU